rnacentral:rRNA from 1 species
UCUUUUAUCUUUUAAAAGACCUAGUAAUAGGUAUGCUUUAGGAGGGGCUUGCGCCAUAUUAGUUAGUUGGUAGGGUAAUGGCCUACCAAGACGAUGAUGUGUAGCUGGACUGAGAGGUUGAACAGCCACAUUGGGACUGAGACACGGCCCAAACUCCUACGGGAGGCAGCAGUAGGGAAUUUUCGGCAAUGGAGGAAACUCUGACCGAGCAACGCCGCGUGAAUGACGAAGUACUUCGGUAUGUAAAGUUCUUUUAUCAAGGAAGAAAAGCAAAUGGCGAACCAUUUGUUUGCCGGUACUUGAUGAAUAAGCCCCGGCUAAUUAUGUGCCAGCAGCCGCGGUAAGACAUAAGGGGCAAGUGUUAUCCGGAAUUAUUGGGCGUAAAGGGUGCGUAGGCGGUCUAGUAAGUCAGUGGUGUAAUGGCAACGCUUAACGUUGUCCGGCUAUUGAAACUGCUAAACUUGAGUUAGAUAGAGGCGAGUGGAAUUCCAUGUGUAGCGGUAAAAUGCGUAAAUAUAUGGAGGAACACCAGAGGCGUAGGCGGCUCGCUGGGUCUUAACUGACGCUGAGGCACGAAAGCGUGGGGAGCAAACAGGAUUAGAUACCCUGGUAGUCCACGCCGUAAACGAUGAGUACUAAGUGUCGGGUUAAACCGGUACUGAAGUUAACACAUUAAGUACUCCGCCUGAGUAGUACGUACGCAAGUAUGAAACUUAAAGGAAUUGACGGGACUCCGCACAAGCGGUGGAUCAUGUUGUUUAAUUCGAAGAUACCCGAAAAACCUUACCAGGUCUUGACAUGUUUUUGCAAAAUGAUAGUAAUAUCGUGGAGGUUACCAGAAACACAGGUGGUGCAUGGUUGUCGUCAGCUCGUGUCGUGAGAUGUUAGGUUAAGUCCUAAAACGAGCGAAACCCUUAUCGUUAGUUGCCAGCACGUUAUGGUGGGGACUUUAACGAGACUGCCAAUGAUAAAUUGGAGGAAGGUGAGGAUCACGUCAAAUCAGCAUGCCCCUUAUGACCUGGGCUACAAACGUGAUACAAUGGCUGUUACAAAGGGUAGCUGAAACGCAAGUUCUUGGCCAAUCCCCAAAAACAGUCCCAGUCCGGAUUGAAGUCUGCAACUCGACUUCAUGAAGUUGGAAUCGCUAGUAAUCGCGAAUCAGCAUGUCGCGGUGAAUACGUUCUCGGGGUUUGUACACACCGCCCGUCAAA